rnacentral:rRNA from 1 species
AGGUCAAGAUAGAAAGGGCUUAAGGCGGAUGCCUUGGCACUGGGAGCCGAAGAAGGACGUGGCAAACUACGAAAAGC